GCAGAACGGUCGCCGCGUCGCCUCAGCACGGACCUCCAGGGAGCUCCUCAGCAAGAUCCUGCCAGGGCGCCCCUCAGCGCGAUUCUGCCGGGGUGCCUCUCAGCGUGGUCCUCCCCGGGGCUCCUCAGCACGAUUCUCCCGGUGCGCCCCUCAGCGCGGUCCUCCUCGGUGCGUCAGUCAUCGUGGUUCUCCCCGGCGCGCCCCUCGGCGCGGUUCUCCUCGGGGCUCCUCAGCGCGGCGCUCUUCUGGGGGCUCCUCGGCGCAGUUCUCCCCGGGGACUCCUCGGCGCCGUUCUCCUCGGGGCACCCGGGGCUUUUCGGCGCGGUUCUCCCCGGGGGUUCUUCGGCGCGGUUGUCCCCGGGGGUUCUUCGGCGCGGUUCUCUCCGGGGGCCUCUCGCCGCGGUUCUGUUCUCCCCGGGGGCUCCUCAGCAUGGUUCUCCUCCGCGCGGUCCUCCCUGGGCCUCCUCAGCGCGGCACUCUCCUGGGGGCUCCUCAGCGCGGCACUCUCCCCGGGGGCUCCUCAGCGCGGCACUCUCCCGGCGGCUCCUCAGUGCGGUUCUCCCAGACUCUCCUCAGCGCGGCCCUCCCCAUCUCUCUGGGAGGGUUUGAACACGGUCAGCACGGACCUGGGCGGACGGCGCGGGACGGGUGAUCACUGGCGUUGCUGAGGCUUGGAAGUCCAAGGUCAAGGCACUGGCAGAUUCAGCAUCUGGAGAGGACUCGCUUUCUGGUUCAUGAACAGUUGUCUUCUUGUGUCCUCAUAUGACGGAAGAAAAAAAGGAGCUCACUGAGGUCUCUUUUACAAGGGCACUAAUCCAUUCCAUGAGGUCUCCACCCUCAUGACCUAACCACUUCCCAAAGGCCUCACCUCCUAAUACCAACAUUGGGGGUUAGGAUUUCAACAUAUACAUUUUGAGGAAACACACACAUUCAGUCUAUAGCAAUUAAUGAUAGAAUAAAAGACACAGAAAAGCAUUUGGGUGAUAAAAUUCAACACCCUUCCAUGAUGGGAGAAAAAGCCCUACUCAAUAUACUAGGAAUAGAAAGGAACAUCCUCAACCUGAUAAAGGGCAUCUAUUAAAAAUCACAGUUGGCCGGGUGCAGUGGUUCACACCUGUAAUCCCAGCACUUUGGGAGGCCGAGGCGGGUGGAUCACGAGGUCAGGAGAUCGAGACCAUACUGGCUAAUAUGGUGAAACCCCGUCUUUACUAAAAAUACAAAAAAAUUAGCCAGGCAUGGCAGCAUGCGCCUGUAGUCCCAGCUACUCGGGAGGCUGAGGCAGAAGAAUGGCGUGAACCUGGGAGGUGGAGCUUGCAGUGAGCCGUGAUCACACCACUGCAUUCCAGCCUGGGUGACAGAGCGAGACUCUGUCUCAAAAAAAAAAAAAAAA
rnacentral:lncRNA from 1 species